rnacentral:rRNA from 1 species
UUUGGACAAUGGGGGCAACCCUGAUCCAGCCAUCCCGCGUGUGCGAUGAAGGCCUUCGGGUUGUAAAGCACUUAUGGCAGUGAAGAAAAGGCUCUGGCUAAUACCUGGAGCUGCUGUCGGUACCUGCAGAAUAAGUGCCGGUUAACUACGUGCCAGCAGCCGCGGUAAUACGUAGGGUGCAAGCGUUAAUCGGAAUUACUGGGCGUAAAGCGUGCGCAGGCAGUUCGUCAAGAAGGAUGUGAAAUCCCAGGGCUUAACCUUGGAACUGCAUUCUUAACUGCCGGGCUAGAGUAUGUCAGAGGGGGGUAGAAUUCCGCGUGUAGCAGUGAAAUGCGUAGAGAUGAGGAGGAAUACCGAUGGCGAAGGCAGCCCCCUGGGAUAAUACUGACGCUCAUGCACGAAAGCGUGGGGAGCAAAC